rnacentral:rRNA from 1 species
UACGGGAGGCAGCAGUGGGGAAUAUUGCACAAUGGGCGCAAGCCUGAUGCAGCCAUGCCGCGUGUAUGAAGAAGGCCUUCGGGUUGUAAAGUACUUUCAGUCGUGAGGAAGGUGUUAAGGUUAAUAACCUUAGCAAUUGACGUUAGCGACAGAAGAAGCACCGGCUAACUCCGUGCCAGCAGCCGCGGUAAUACGGAGGGUGCGAGCGUUAAUCGGAAUUACUGGGCGUAAAGGGCACGCAGGCGGUUAAUUAAGUUGGAUGUGAAAUCCCCGGGCUUAACCUGGGAAUGGCAUUCAAGACUGGUUAGCUAGAGUCUUGUAGAGGGGGUAGAAUUCCAUGUGUAGCGGUGAAAUGCGUAGAGAUGUGGAGGAAUACCGGUGGCGAAAGGCGGCCCCUGGACAAAAGACUGACGCUCAUGUGCGAAAAGCGUGGGGAGCAAAACAGGGAUUAGAUACC